rnacentral:lncRNA from 1 species
AAGCAGGCCUGGAAGAAAAUUUGGAAUGAUAAUUUAGGAAUGAUUUUUUCUUUUUUUUUUUUUUGUGUUUUCUUUGGUUUUACCCUGGGUGACUUGCCUCCUUAAAUAACUGAGGGCCAGCAUAAGUCUGUUCAACUUUAUAUUGAGUUUGUAGAUGGUUUGGGGUAUCAUUUAACCUUCUACAAUAUAUACUCCAUAUAAAAUAAGUAUUUAUAUGUUAGGUUUCAUAUUGGUACAGAGGCAGUAAUCUUAACAAAUCACUUUUCUUUCAGAUAAUAAGCAAAAUACGGACUAAAAUCCUCACUGAUUUCUGGGAAAAAAAAAACCCUGCAGAUAUUUCUUGACCCUGCUUUAUGUCCUGGUGUUUGUUACCAGUCAUUGGCACAAUCAAAGAGCUUCAUUACAACAGCUGAAACCAGAGUCCCUAAAAUGUGGAGUGAUAGCUCUCCUGAGCCAAGAUUCAGCAGCAGAACAGGAUGUGGCUUUCACAAAGGGAGUCCCUGUAUCUGGCAACAUCUGCUUCAGAUCCUGGAAGCCAGCACCCACCAAAAUGGACAAUACUGGGGUUUGCUUGGGUGCUGGCAGGCAGCAGCAGAUCAGGUAGGAUGUCUUCUGCUGGGAAUGGGGUCAGCUGCUUCACAAUCUCUUGACCUGCUCUCUCUGGCAUGUGAUUGUGUCCUGGAAAUGAGCAGCUUAAACAGUAAGGAUGUUUCUGAUCUUUUUCCUGAAAUGUAAGAAAAUUCUGCUGUAACAAAGGAAAAUAAGGUUUCUAUGAGCAAUAAAUACAAUGUCAUCAUGGUUGCA